AAAUGCGAUAAGUAAUGUGAAUUGCAGAAUUCAGUGAAUCAUCGAAUCUUUGAACGCACAUUGCGCCCGCCAGUAUUCUGGCGGGCAUGCCUGUCCGAGCGUCAUUUCAACCAUCAAGCCCCCGGGCUUGUGUUGGGGACCUGUGGCUGCCCGCAGGCCCUGAAAACCAGUGGCGGGCUCGCUGUCACACCGAGCGUAGUAGCAAUCACCUCGCUCAGGGCGUGCUGCGGGUUCCGGCCGUUAAACAGCCUUACAAAACCCAAGGUUGACCUCGGAUCAGGUAGGAAGACCCGCUGAACUUAAGC
rnacentral:misc_RNA from 1 species